UACGUAGGGUGCAAGCGUUAAUCGGAAUUACUGGGCGUAAAGCGUGCGCAGGCGGUUUUGUAAGUCUGUCGUGAAAUCCCCGGGCUCAACCUGGGAAUUGCGAUGGAGACUGCAAGGCUAGAAUCUGGCAGAGGGGGGUAGAAUUCCACGUGUAGCAGUGAAAUGCGUAGAGAUGUGGAGGAACACCGAUGGCGAAGGCAGCCCCCUGGGUCAAGAUUGACGCUCAUGCACGAAAGGCGUGGGGACAAACAGGAUUAACGAA
rnacentral:rRNA from 1 species